rnacentral:lncRNA from 1 species
GUGCAUUUUUAAAAUAGAGUUGCUUGGUUUUUAGUUGUAGAUGGACACAAUACCUCUAUCUUAUUUAUUUUUAUGUGGUGUUUGGGAUUGAACCAGGGCCACACACCUGGGAGGCAAGCGCUCUACCGCUGAGCCCCGCCCCAGCCCCUCCUGUGCACUUUUAAUCUUUCUUUAGGUUUUCAAUCCCCAGGGGUCUUCACCUGUGGGGGAGGGGAAGCACCGCGAGUUCCCCCAACAGGAGGACAGCGCUCUUGGGGCCAGUGCGUCUGCAGGACACCCCGGACGGCCACCUGCCUGUGUGCCUGGCUGCACAGCUCCGCUGUCACCACCCAGGUGAGCGCUCGGGUCCCCAGAACCAGACCAGAGAUGAGCAACAGAAAAGCAGCCGGCCAACCUCCAGAUGCUCAGCAUCAAAGGGCCCCGCUCAGCAAGCUGUGCCAACGAGGAAGGCCCCCAGGGAGUCCCACAGGGAGGGCUAAAGUGACCGUGAAACACUAAAACACACCAGAACCCGGGGACCCCAGGAGAGUGUGCAGAAGGGACCGUGGCAGUGGGCGUCCACGUUGGAAAAGAGUGAAGCUCUGAAGCCAGAAUCCUGACUCCCCUCCAAGGGGAAAUGCGGGGAGGGACAGAUGGCGCAGAGGACAGGGAGGGAGAGGCCACCCACCUGCUCUGACUGUGCCGGCAGCAGGACCCCGAGUCCCACCCCUCGUGGAGCUGGGGGCCACCGGGGCAGAAGCUGCCAGGGCUGCGACCACGGGGCCCCAGGCAGGAGGCCCAGCCAAGAGCAGGACCUCAGCUUGCUUUCCCUCCAGGACCACCUGCAGCCCGCACAGGGGCGUCUCAACUGUGGCCACACAUUCCUCAAGUUCUCCCCAAGCCAGGGGCUGCGGUUCUCGGAAGGCUUUCCAGUCACGGGGGCCAAGCCGAGGCCAGAGGGGGCCUGAGCCGCUUGGCCGGGGCCCUCUUGUUGGGCCAUUUUAGUUAAAGACUGGAAAGAGGAUAACAGACCCCAGAGUUCCC